AUGAGAAUCACCCUGGGAUUUCAUUAAAAUGCAGAUUCUGAUUAAGUAGUUCUGGGACCUGGCUUGGGGUUCUGCAUUUCUAACGAGCUCCCAGGAGAUGCCAGU
rnacentral:pre_miRNA from 1 species